rnacentral:rRNA from 1 species
UACGUAGGGUGCAGGCGUUAAUCGGAAUUACUGGGCGUAAAUCGUGCGCAGGCGGUUUGGUAAGACAGGUGUGAAAUCCCCGGGCUUAACCUGGGAACUGCGCUUGUAACUGGCAAGCUAGAGUGUGGCAGAGGGGGGUGGAAUUCCACGUGUAGCAGUGAAAUGCGUAGAGAUGUGGAGGAACACCGAUGGCGAAGGCAGCCCCCUGGGCUAACACUGACGCUCAUGCACGAAAGCGUGGGGAGCAAACAGG